rnacentral:rRNA from 1 species
GACUCGCUACCAGGUCCAAGGACGGCAGCAGGCGCGAAAAUUACCGAAGCUCGAAAUGAGGCGGUAGUAAUGAGACGUAAAUAAAUAAUACAAGGGUAAAAAACUUGUUAAUAACUGGAGGUCAAGUCUGGUGCCAGCAUCCGCGGUAAUACCAGCUCCAGGGGUGUCUAUGAUGAUUGCUGCGAUUAAAAGGUCCGUAGUCGAAAAUAGAUAAUUGUUUGUAAGAUGUUAUUUAAAAUAAUAGAAAGAACAAUUACCUAAUUGAAAGGAAUAGCAAGAGGCUGGUUAAUCGAGUAACGAGAGGUGAAAUUUGAUGACUUACUUGGGAGAAACAGAGGCGAAAGCGCCAGUCAAGUGUAAAUCCGAUGAUCAAGGACGUAGGCUGGAGUAUCGAACACGAUUAGAUACCGUAGUAGUUCCAGCAGUAAACUAUGCCUACGCCGUUGAAUGAAAGUUUGGCGGACGAGAAAUUUAGAGUAGGGCUUUGGGGAGAGUACACGCGCAAGCGAUAAAUUUAAAGGAAAUUGACGGAAGAACACCACAAGGAGUGGAGUGUGCGGCUUAAUUUGACUCAACGCGGGACAGCUUACCAAACCCGAGGACCAAAAGAGUGAAUACACGAUAGGUUUAAGAGUGGUGCAUGGCCGUUAUCGACGAGUGAAGUGAUUUUAUGGUUAAAUCCGACAAGUCGUGAGACCCUAAAAUAAACAGGUAUGAAAAUACAGGAAGGAUAGGACAAGAACAGGUCAGUGAUGCCCUUAGAUGGUUUGGGCUGCACGCGCACUACAGUGGUUAUAAAAAAAAAAGAAAAAAGAAAAUAAAUAU